AAAAUACUAAAAGAUUUUUCAAAGUAUUAAAACAUUUUUUAAAGUUUACCUAGAAAUAUUAAAAUCGUUUGAAAAGUUUAUUCAAAAGUAUUUGAUUGAGGCCUCUGUGUCAAUACAUCAUCAUUUUACCAGCCAUAUCGUCUUAUUUCAAAGACUGGGAAAUGUAGGGCCAGCCACAGGAGUAGCUUCUUUAAAUUUAACUUGGAAAUAUUAAGAUCAAAUAAAGGUAUUCCUUAUUCAGUAUUAUGUAACAUAUUACUGUGACGUCCUGUAGACGCCAGCGUUAUCCUAAGCACUUUAUUCACCAAAUGUAUAUUAAACAUAAAGGACGUGUUAC